rnacentral:antisense_RNA from 1 species
CUGAAGAUGGUUCCUGUCUGAACCAUGCACACUAAUCAUUUAAUGUUCUACAGAAGAAAAGAACAAACAGAGCAGGGAGGCAGAUGUGGCCACAUACUGGAUCUACACUUAAAACAGUGAAUGGCUGCUACACCCACCUCCUGCAGUAGGAACAGGAAGAAAGGAAGGAUCACCUAUAGAAAACUCACCCUGAAAAAUGUGGAGACAGGACUCAAGGAGGUCCCAUUUCCAAAUGGAAGAAGUAAAAUUUUCACAGGAUGAAGUCUUUGACCCGAACCUAAAUACAGACCAGAAUUCUGAGCCCAAAAACUAUCUCCAGCAUCCGGAGAAGAAGCAUCAUGAAAGGGGAGGAGAGAGUUGUUUAUAUAUAAAAUAAGUUGAAUUUGCAAG